AGAGCUUCGCUCAGCGGUAGAGCGCAUGCUCAGCAUGCAUGAGGUCCUGGGUUCAAUCCCCAGCAGCUCCA
rnacentral:tRNA from 1 species